GUUGUCCAAUUUCAUGGUCAUUUAGUGGCAUUUUUUCAAAAAAAAUUUGCAGUAAAUCAAAUUACCACAAACAAAACACAAAGUGAACUUGGGGUUUACAAGGCCCCUGAAGGUGGCCUGCCUCGAAAUGCAUAAAAAACAGGUUUUAUCUGUAGACCAGAUGUGAUGGGAUUACUUCGUGGUCAACAAAUGAAGGACAGAGGAAGAAAAAUAUGAAUCAAGGCCCCAAAUGUAGAUUUUGCUCUACCACUGUUGUUCAAAACACAAAGCAACUGAACCCACUGCUCUUCUUCUUGGUGGAUUUUAUCAUCUGAAGCACCACUGAUGAGCAUUUCUUGCAUGAGCGGCCUCAGGAUGAAUCAACCCUCCAACCUUGGCCAUUAGUGCCAUACUGUACUGAUCGUGCCAUAAAAGCAGAUAUAAAAGGUUGACUGACUCUGUUGCUCUAAUUGGGUGGAGAGAAAAAAAAUCCACUUCAAUAAAAAACGCUGUACUCUCAAAUGAAGAUAAUUAAAAAUGGCAUGACAAGCCUUGUUUAAGAGCAGAGCGGAGGUUCAAACAACACGACGGCGCUGGAGUUAAGUGUGUGUGUGUGUGGGCCUCAUCCCAAAGCCCUCCAGUACCUGACAGAUCUGAUAUCCUUAUGGCGAGGGAGGCGUAAUCUGAGGUGACAAGGAACAGCAAUUAAAAUAAAUAAAUAAAAUAACCGCCACAAUUAGCCGCCGCUUAAUUCACCACGAUGCCCCGAUAAUCUAGUAAUCUGCUAAAGUGACAUCGGCAAAUUCCCCCUUCCCUCCUCUGCACAAACUGAUGUGUGUGUCGGUGUGUGUGGAGAAGUGAAAGACAGAAGAGUACGCAGAUCCUAACAGAGAGCGUCGACUGGUAUUAGGACUGACACCCAUCAAUCUGGCUGAAAUGUCAGACUGAAUGAGGGAGGAGGAGUAGUGGACUGGGAGGAAGAGGAGCAGGAGGAGACAUGCAGAGGACUAGAAUAGAUAAAAAGUAAAGGAAGAGAUGAGGGGAGAGAAGAAGAAGAAGAAGAAGAAGAGAGGGUGAGGUCAGAAGAGAAAUUCAGAUUGGAUGAAUAAUAAGAAUAAGGAAGAAGGGCAAGAGGAGAAUUCAGGUGAGAGGAGGAGGGCAGAGGAAAGGAGCGAGAGAAAGGAAACAUCAAUGGAAAGAGGGCAGAAGAAGAAAGAAGGGUGAUGCCGAAGUGUAGAUGAAGCCAGAGGGACGCAUGGGAGAGAAAUGAAGAGGAGGAGAAGGAGCUAAAAGAGGAGAGAAAUUCAGGUGGGAGGAGGAGGGGGCAGAGAAAAUGUGGUCAGAGGAGGAGUGGAGAUGGAGACGGAGGAAGGAUGAAAGCAGGAGGAAAAGAGAUUAGUCUAAUUGUGUU